rnacentral:rRNA from 1 species
UAGGGAAUCUUCGGCAAUGGACGAAAGUCUGACCGAGCAACGCCGCGUGUGUGAAGAAGGUUUUCGGUUCGUAAAACUCUGUUGUUAGAGAAGAACAAGGACGUUAGUAACUGAACGUCCCCUGACGGUAUCUAACCAGAAAGCCACGGCUAACUACGUGCCAGCAGCCGCGGUAAUACGUAGGUGGCAAGCGUUGUCCGGAUUUAUUGGGCGUAAAGCGAGCGCAGGCGGUUUCUUAAGUCUGAUGUGAAAGCCCCCGGCUCAACCGGGGAGGGUCAUUGGAAACUGGGAGACUUGAGUGCAGAAGAGGAGAGUGGAAUUCCAUGUGUAGCGGUGAAAUGCGUAGAUAUAUGGAGGAACACCAGUGGCGAAGGCGGCUAUCUGGUCUGUAACUGACGCUGAGGCUAGAAAGCGUGGGGAGCAAACAGG